UACGGAGGAUGCGAGCGUUAUCCGGAUUUAUUGGGUUUAAAGGGUGCGUAGGCGGAAUAUCAAGUCAGCGGUAAAAAUUCGGGGCUCAACCCCGCCGUGCCGUUGAAACUGGUGUUCUUGAGUGGGCGAGAAGUAUGCGGAAUGCGUGGUGUAGCGGUGAAAUGCAUAGAUAUCACGCAGAACUCCGAUUGCGAAGGCAGCAUACCGGCGCCCAACUGACGCUGAAGCACGAAGGCGUGGGUAUCGAACAGG
rnacentral:rRNA from 1 species